UAAAGAAUUUCGGUAUGGGAUGGGGAUGCGUUCCAUUAGUUAGUUGGCGGGGUAACGGCCCACCAAGACAACGAUGGAUAGGGGUUCUGAGAGGAAGGUCCCCCACAUUGGAACUGAGACACGGUCCAAACUCCUACGGGAGGCAGCAGUGAGGAAUAUUGGUCAAUGGACGAGAGUCUGAACCAGCCAAGUAGCGUGAAGGAUGACUGCCCUAUGGGUUGUAAACUUCUUUUAUAUGGGAAUAAAAUGUUCCACGUGUGGGAUUUUGUAUGUACCAUAUGAAUAAGGAUCGGCUAACUCCGUGCCAGCAGCCGCGGUAAUACGGAGGAUCCGAGCGUUAUCCGAAUUUAUUGGGUUUAAAGGGAGCGUAGGUGGAUUGUUAAGUCAGUUGUGAAAGUUUGCGGCUCAACCGUAAAGUUGCAGUUGAAACUGGCAGUCUUGAGUACAGUAGAGGUGGGCGGAAUUCGUGGUGUAGCGGUGAAAUGCUUAGAUAUCACGAAGAACUCCGAUUGCGAAGGCAGCUCACUGGACUGCAACUGACACUGAGGCUCGAAAGUGUGGGUAUCAAACAGGAUUAGAUACCCUGGUAGUCCACACAGUAAACGAUGAAUACUCGCUGUUUGCGAUAUACAGCAA
rnacentral:rRNA from 1 species